CCUACGGGAGGCAGCAGUGAGGAAUAUUGGGCAAUGGGCGCGAGCCUGAACCAGCCAAGUAGCGUGAAGGAUGACUGCCCUACGGGAUGUAAACGUCGGGUAUAAAGGAAUAAAGUGAGGCACGUGGGCCGUUUUGUAUGUACGUUAUGAAUAAGGAUCGGCUAACUCCGUGCCAGCAGCCGCGGUAAUACGGAGGAUCCGAGCGUUCUCCGGAUUUAUUGGGUUUCAAGGGAGCGUAGAUGGGUUGUUAAGUCAGUUGUGAAAGUUUGCGGCUCAACCGGAAAAUUGCAAUUGAUACUGGCAGUCUUGUGUACAGUUGAGGUCGGCUGAAUUCGUUGUGUCGCUGUGAACUGCUUCGCUAUCACGAAUAACUCCGAUUGCGCCGGCAGCUUACUACACUGCCACUGCCAUUGCUUCUCGAAAGUGUGGGUAUCACACAGGAUUCGCUACCCGUGUAGUC
rnacentral:rRNA from 1 species